GGUUGCGAUCAUACCAGCACUAAUGCACCGGAUUCCAUCAGAACUCCGCAGUUAAGCGUGCUUGGGCGAGAGUAGUACUGGGAUGGGUGACCCCCUGGGAAGUCCUCGUGUUGCAACCC
rnacentral:rRNA from 1 species